CUACGGGACGCAGCAGUGGGGGAUACUGCACAAUGGGGGAAACCCUGAUGCAGCAACGCCGCGUGAAGGAAGACGGUUUUCGGAUUGUAAACUUCUAUCAGCUGGGAAGAAAAUGACUGUACCAGACUAAGAAGCCCCGGCUAACUACGUGCCAGCAGCCGCGGUAAUACGUAGGGGGCAAGCGUUAUCCGGAUUUACUGGGUGUAAAGGGUUCGUAGGCGGUUAUUUAAGUCAGAUGUGAAAGCCCGAGGCUCAACCUCGGGACUGCAUUUGAAACUGGGUAACUAGAGUACAGGAGAGGAAAGCGGAAUUCCUAGUGUAGCGGUGAAAUGCGUAGAUAUUAGGAAGAACACCAGUGGCGAAGGCGGCUUUCUGGACUGUAACUGACGCUGAGGAACGAAAGCGUGGGGAGCGAACAGGAUUAGAUACCCUAGUAGUC
rnacentral:rRNA from 1 species